rnacentral:rRNA from 1 species
UUUACGGAGAGUUUGAUCCUGGCUCAGGAUGAACGCUGGCGGCGUGCCUAAUACAUGCAAGUCGAGCGCACUAUUUUGGUAGUGAGCGGCGAACGGGUGAGUAACACGUAGGUAACAUGUCCAUACGACGAGG